rnacentral:rRNA from 1 species
UACGAAGGGGGCUAGCGUUGCUCGGAAUUACUGGGCGUAAAGGGCGCGUAGGUGGCCUUCUUAGUCAGACGUGAAAUCCCCCGGCUUAACCUGGGAACUGCGUCUGAUACUGGGAGGCUUGAGUAUGGGAGAGGGAUGUAGAAUUCCAGGUGUAGCGGUGAAAUGCGUAGAUAUCUGGAGGAAUACCGGUGGCGAAGGCGGCAUCCUGGACCAUUACUGACGCUGAGGCGCGAAAGCUAGGGGAGCAAACGGG